rnacentral:rRNA from 1 species
CCUACGGGAGGCACCAGUAGGGAAUCUUCGGCAAUGGACGAAAGUCUGACCGAGCAACGCCGCGUGAGUGAAGAAGGUUUUCGGAUCGUAAAACUCUAUUGUUAGAGAAGAACAAGUAGGAGAGUAACUGCUCUUACCUUGACGGUAUCUAACCAGAAAGCCACGGCUAACUACGUGCCAGCAGCCGCGGUAAUACGUAGGCGGCAAGCGUUGUCCGGAUUUAUUGGGCGUAAAGCGAGCGCAGGCGGUCUUUUAAGUCUGAUGUGAAAGCCCUCGGCUCAACCGAGGAAGGUCAUUGGAAACUGGGGGACUUGAGUGCAGAAGAGGAGAGUGGAAUUCCAUGUGUAGCGGUGAAAUGCGCAGAUAUAUGGAGGAACACCAGUGGCGGAGGCGACUCUCUGGUCUGUAACUGACGCUGAGGCUCGAAAGCGUGGGGAGCAAACAGGAUUAGAUACCCUUGUAGUC